GAUGAACGCUAGCGAUAGGCUUAACACAUGCAAGUCGAGGGGCAGCAUUAUUUAGCUUGCUAAGAUAGAUGGCGACCGGCGCACGGGUGCGUAACGCGUAUGCAACCUGCCUGUAAUUAGGGAAUAACCCGGUGAAAGUCGGACUAAUACCCUAUAUUUUCUUUCUCCGCAUGGAGGAGGACGGAAAGAUUUAUUGAUUACAGAUGGGCAUGCGUCCCUUAGCUAGUUGGUAAGGUAACGGCUUACCAAGGCAACGAUGGGUAGGGGGACUGAGAGGUUGACCCCCCACACUGGUACUGAGACACGGACCAGACUCCUACGGGAGGCAGCAGUGAGGAAUAUUGGUCAAUGGGCGAGAGCCUGAACCAGCCAAGUCGCGUGAAGGACGACGGUUCUAUGGAUUGUAAACUUCUUUUGUAGAGGAAUAAUGGCAGCUACGCGUAGCUGAGAUGCAUGUACUCUACGAAUAAGUAUCGGCUAACUCCGUGCCAGCAGCCGCGGUAAUACGGAGGAUACGAGCGUUAUCCGGAAUUAUUGGGUUUAAAGGGUGCGUAGGUGGCGUAUUAAGUCGGUGGUGAAAAGCUGCAGCUCAACCGUAUCUUGCCGUUGAAACUGAUAUGCUAGAGAGGAGACGAGGUAUGCGGAAUGUGUGGUGUAGCGGUGAAAUGCAUAGAUAUCACACAAACGCCGAUUGCGAAGGCAGCGUACCAGGCUCCGUCUGACACUGAAGCACGAAAGCGUGGGGAUCAAACAGGAUUAGAUACCCUGGUAGUCCACGCAGUAAACGAUGAAUACUAGAUUUUUGCGAUAUAGUGUAAGAGUCUAAGCGAAAGCGAUAAGUAUUCCACCUGGGGAGUACGCCGGCACGGUGAAACUCAAAGGAAUUGACGGGGGCCCGCACAAGCGGAGGAACAUGUGGUUUAAUUCGAUGAUACGCGAGGAACCUUACCCGGGAUUGAAAUUUAGAUGAC
rnacentral:rRNA from 1 species